rnacentral:rRNA from 1 species
GGUUAAGCGACUAAGCGUACACGGUGGAUGCCUAGGCAGUCAGAGGCGAUGAAGGACGUGCUAAUCUGCGAUAAGCGUCGGUAAGGUGAUAUGAACCGUUAUAGCCGACGAUUUCCGAAUGGGGAAACCCAGUGCAAUCCGUUGCACUAUCGUUAAGUGAAUACAUAGCUUAACGAAGCGAACCAGGGGAACUGAAACAUCUAAGUACCCUGAGGAAAAGAAAUCAACCGAGAUUCCCCCAGUAGCGGCGAGCGAACGGGGAACAGCCCAGAACCUGAAUCAGUUUGUGUGUUAGUGGAAGCGUCUGGAAAGUCGCAGGGUACAGGGUGAUACUCCCGUACACAAAAAUGCAUAUUCUGUGAGUUCGAAGAGUAGGGCGGGACACGUGGUAUCCUGUCUGAAUAUGGGGGGACCAUCCUCCAAGGCUAAAUACUCCUGACUGACCGAUAGUGAACCAGUACCGUGAGGGAAAGGCGAAAAGAACCCCGGCGAGGGGAGUGAAACAGAACCUGAAACCGUGUACGUACAAGCAGUGGGAGCCUUGAUUUAUCAGGGUGACUGCGUACCUUUUGUAUAAUGGGUCAGCGACUUAUAUUCUGUAGCAAGGUUAACCGUAUAGGGGAGCCGAAGGGAAACCGAGUCUUAACUGGGCGUUAAGUUGCAGGGUAUAGACCCGAAACCCGGUGAUCUAGCCAUGGGCAGGUUGAAGGUUGGGUAACACUAACUGGAGGACCGAACCGACUAAUGUUGAAAAAUUAGCGGAUGACUUGUGGCUGGGGGUGAAAGGCCAAUCAAACCGGGAGAUAGCUGGUUCUCCCCGAAAGCUAUUUAGGUAGCGCCUCGUGAACUCAUCUUCGGGGGUAGAGCACUGUUUCGGCUAGGGGGCCAUCCCGGCUUACCAACCCGAUGCAAACUACGAAUACCGAAGAAUGUUAUCACGGGAGACACACGGCGGGUGCUAACGUCCGUCGUGAAGAGGGAAACAACCCAGACCGCCAGCUAAGGUCCCAAAGUCACAGUUAAGUGGGAAACGAUGUGGGAAGGCACAGACAGCCAGGAUGUUGGCUUAGAAGCAGCCAUCAUUUAAAGAAAGCGUAAUAGCUCACUGGUCGAGUCGGCCUGCGCGGAAGAUGUAACGGGGCUAAACUGUGCACCGAAGCUGCGGCAGCGACGCUUAUGCGUUGUUGGGUAGGGGAGCGUUCUGUAAGCCGUCGAAGGUGUCCUGUGAGGGAUGCUGGAGGUAUCAGAAGUGCGAAUGCUGACAUAAGUAACGAUAAAGCGGGUGAAAAGCCCGCUCGCCGGAAGACCAAGGGUUCCUGUCCAACGUUAAUCGGGGCAGGGUGAGUCGACCCCUAAGGCGAGGCCGAAAGGCGUAGUCGAUGGGAAACAGGUUAAUAUUCCUGUACUCGGUGUUACUGCGAAGGGGGGACGGAGAAGGCUAUGUUAGCCGGGCGACGGUUGUCCCGGUUUAAGCAUGUAGGCGGAGCGUUUAGGUAAAUCCGGACGCUU